AGCUGGUCCAGAAGUAGUGACUUAUCUCACUUGAUUGUUCACAGUCAGUUACAGACUGAACUCCUUGUUCUACUCUUCCGGUUGCUGCACUUGACCAGUUUAAA
ensembl:misc_RNA Y_RNA Y RNA